GACGAACGCUGGCGGCGUGCCUAAUACAUGCAAGUUGAGCGCUGAAGGUUGGUACUUGUACCAACUGGAUGAGCAGCGAACGGGUGAGUAACGCGUGGGGAAUCUGCCUUUGAGCGGGGGACAACAUUUGGAAACGAAUGCUAAUACCGCAUAAAAACUUUAAACACAAGUUUUAAGUUUGAAAGAUGCAAUUGCAUCACUCAAAGAUGAUCCCGCGUUGUAUUAGCUAGUUGGUGAGGUAAAGGCUCACCAAGGCGAUGAUACAUAGCCGACCUGAGAGGGUGAUCGGCCACAGUGGGACUGAGACACGGCCCAAACUCCUACGGGAGGCAGCAGUAGGGAAUCUUCGGCAAUGGACGAAAGUCUGACCGAGCAACGCCGCGGGAGUGAAGAAGGGUUUCGGAUCGUAAAAAUCUGUUGGUAGAGAAGAAAGUUGGUGAGAGUGGAAAGCUCAUCAAGUGACGGUAACUACCCAGAAAGGGACGGCUAACUACGUG
rnacentral:rRNA from 1 species